CGAACGGGUGAGUAACGCGUGAGGAACCUGCCUCAAAGAGGGGGACAACAGUUGGAGACGACUGCUAAUACCGCAUAAGCCCACAGGUCGGCAUCGACCAGGGGGAAAAGGAGCAAUCCGCUUUGAGAUGGCCUCGCGUCCGAUUAGCUAGUUGGUGAGGUAAUGGCCCACCAAGGCGACGAUCGGUAGCCGGACUGAGAGGUUGAACGGCCACAUUGGGACUGAGACACGGCCCAG
rnacentral:rRNA from 1 species